rnacentral:rRNA from 1 species
AUUGAACGCUGGCGGCAUGCUUUACACAUGCAAGUCGAACGGUAACAGGGAGCUUGCUCCGCUGACGAGUGGCGAACGGGUGAGUAAUGCAUCGGAACGUACCGUGUAAUGGGGGAUAACGUAGCGAAAGUUACGCUAAUACCGCAUACGCCCUGAGGGGGAAAGUGGGGGACCGCAAGGCCUCACGUUAUACGAGCGGCCGAUGUCGGAUUAGCUAGUUGGUGGGGUAAAGGCCUACCAAGGCGACGAUCCGUAGCGGGUCUGAGAGGAUGAUCCGCCACACUGGGACUGAGACACGGCCCAGACUCCUACGGGAGGCAGCAGUGGGGAAUUUUGGACAAUGGGGGCAACCCUGAUCCAGCCAUGCCGCGUGAGUGAAGAAGGCCUUCGGGUUGUAAAGCUCUUUCAGGUGGAAAGAAAUCUCCCGGGCGAAUACCCUGGGAGGAUGACGGUACCAUCAGAAGAAGCGCCGGCUAACUACGUG